CCUUCCCUCCCCCCACCUUGGGAAGUGGGGGUAAGUACUGAUUUUGGUUUCUCCUGUGGUGCCUGGGCCAUUUCAUCUCAUCCUUUGGGUUUCAUGCCCAAAGCUGCAUCUACCCCUGGUUCCCUGAGAUCCCCUCUACCAUCUCCUGGACCACCCCUCUCUGUCUUUGGACCCUUCCAGAUUGCCUGGCACCUGGUACUGGACCAGGGAGGUGGUAAGUCUUAAGGCAGAGGCCUGACAACCAGAGAGGAUGGAGUUCCCUUGUGUGUCUCCAACAUUUGUUCAGUCAACACGUAUUUAUUGAGCACAUAUUAUAUGCCAAGAAUAUCCAGGAAUUUAGUGGCAAACCAGGCAGAUCAGGCCCUGCUGUCACGAGUUUACAUCCUGAGAGAGAAAGCCAAGCAAAAUAGAAGCAAACAAGUAACUAAAUAAGAUACCAGAUGGUGGUUGUGUGUUAUGAGAAAGGAUGAUGUGAUGGGGGUUGUCCGGCCUCCUGUGUGUGGGCCUUCUGCGUGUGGAGCUGGAUUGUAGGUGACUGUGUGUGUGAUAUGGUCUUUACUUGGGUAGACUGUGAGCCCCUCAGGGGCAGGACUGGGUUCCCCCGAAACUGUCCAAGUGACAGCCCCGGGGCAGGCACCUGACAAGGGUCAUUAAAUCCUAUGGAUUGGGUGUGUAUGCUAGUACACGCCCAAGGUUGUGUGUCUGUGCCUCUGCGUGUGAGACUGUGUGUGUUUCUGUGUCUGGCAUUACUGUGUGUGUGAGUCACGCCCCCUCACUGCAGCAGAGUUGUCUCUGAUCCAAUUAUGUCUCCUCAACUGUCUCCCUGCACCUCCCGCCCCCUGCUCAGCUCUGGCUUUGCCUCGGGUUUUCCCCUCUCUGCCUCCAUCCAGCCUCCUGUCUCUGCCUCUGGGCCUCUCUCUGGGUCUCAGAGUCUCCCCUCAGGGUGUAUUUUCAUCCCUGUCUCCGAUAGUAACUGCCUCUGCCUUCGUGUCUCUACUUGUCCCCUUUCCUCUGUUUUUUUGUUUUUCCUGUCCCAGUUAUUUGUUCAACAAACCUCUCCUCCUGCCUCUCACCCACUCUGCCAGCCACUGUGCUGGUGCUAGGGAACUGGAGAUGGAUCAGACCCAGCCCUGCUCUCAAGGCCUAGUAGGGAGACCGAUGGAGACGGUGACAGCCCUUCUUGAGAACACAGAUGAGUAUCCUGGGACUCAGAGCUGAUGUCCUUUGCCCAAGCGAAGGCCACACAGGCGGGACAUGGCAGGGCAGAGGUCUGUUUGACCCAGAACACCAUGUAAACGGUGAGUCUGUGGGGCCUGGCUGGGUCUGGUGGGGCCAUGCCACAGCCAAAAGGUUCUCCGAGGGGGCUUCCAGGUGCAGAGCUCCAGGGCUGGGUCUUGGAAAAGCGUGGCCCUGUCUUUGAGCCCAAGGAAGUCUGAGGAUCAAGUUAGGAAAUUGGUCAAGAGGAAGAAUCUCUGAGCUCUGCCACCCUGGCCAGCAAGCCCUCUGAAUCCAAUGAGCGCUGCCUAACAGCAUCAGUUAACUACCGGCAGCCUCCACUUCCCGGAGUGUUUGUUUUAGCUGGACCAGUCCUGCCCCUUGAUGAAGGCAGCACAAAGUCCUGACACUUUGGGGUCAGGUUCACCCAGGCUCUGGUUCUCUGCUUCACUAUUGUUAGCCAUGUGGCCUUGGUCAGUCAUUGUAACUCUCUGGCCCUCAGUUUCUGCAUCUGUAAAAUGGGGAUGAUGAUACCCAUCAGGGUGGUGGGAGGGUAAUAGACGAUGUCUGCACAGGAUGCAGCUUGGCGCCCUUGACAACUGGCAGAGGUGGUUUGACCUAAAUUUCAGCCCCUGUGGGGUCCACAGUCCAGGUGCUGCUGUCUCCUUUGUGGGAUGAUGAAUUAGUGAUUUGGCGCACAGGGUAACGGUUAUUGAGGCUGUGGCUGUAGUUCAGGGUUGGGAUUGAUUUGAUGCUUAGUGCCCCACCCCCAGUCAGGAAUGUGGCCUCUGAUUUGAAUACAGUUCUGUUGGGAAAGGGUGAUUUGCCUAACAGUUAUUCCUUUAAAAUACUGUCUGCUAAAAUGCAACCUGGUGAGCAGUCAGCACAGCCCGUGGGAUGUCUCAGAGCCCAGAUGAACCCCUUGCCCUUUUCUGGGCCUCAGUUUCCCCAGUGGUAACCUGAAGAGUGGUGAGUGGUGGUGGAAGAGAUCAUCGCCUAGGUCCCUUGGACUUUGGGACGAUCUGUGUGCCCCACAUAUCCCACGGGCAAGGAUAUUGGAGACCUGCUGUGGGAGGUCUUGGGGUGAGGGCCAGACUGGGUCCACCCAUCUGUCAGUUUGCUUAUUACUGCCCUGGCCUUUGGCCCUCAAGGCCGCCCCACAGCCCCAUGGAGGGGACCUGACUUCUUUUCCCCUGUCUCAGGUCGACUCUCUCCCUGGGUUCCCCCCACCACUUCCCUCCUCCUGUGGAGAUUCCUCCUUCUCUAACGCUGAGCACUGGGAAGGCCUCCCAAAGGAGACUAGGACAAGGCUGGAGAGAGGGAACGGGGAGAGUGAGACAUGGCUGGGCACUGGACCCUGCUCUCUCCUUAUUUAUUUAAGCCUCCAGGCCUUUGCACUCGCCAGUCCCUCUGCCUGAAAUGCCCUCUCCCCCCUGUUCAGCUCCUUCUGCUUUUAGGCUCCAUUGCCUUCCGUUCCCACAGUUCCCACAGACUCCAACCUGAGAAUGCCUCUUCCCUCAGGGCCCGCAUCUGGGGGCCUUACAGGUCCCAGGGCUUCUGGGCAAUCCCAGUGCUCCACCUCAUGGGGUUUGGAGAGAGCAGGUGCAAGGGGACACAGCCUGUAGUUUCUCUGGUGUCACUCACUCCCUCUGGGCCUCAGUUUUCUCAGCUGUAAAAUGGCUGCAUUUCAGACUUCCUGCUGUAACCAGGCUUCAAGGGCUUUGCAGCCGAGCAUGGCUCCUUGGCGGAGCAACAGCUGCACACCCCCACCUGCCACCCACCUUCAGUUCUGGUUUGCAAGGGGAGCUCCCAGGUGUCCAGCCCAAGUGACUGACUAGGCCCGGGGCCUAAUGGCUGUGGGUUCUGGUAACCUGCCCACCCACCAGCUGUUCUCCGAUGACUCACCCCUACCCUCACUGGUCCCUCCUGAAGCCUCUUAGAAUUACACCUUGCUGGUGUGGCAGCUGGCUGAAGCUGUGGGCAGGAACAAUGCCGAUGUAAUUUACCCCUCUUGGCGCUGUGGUGCUGCCUCCUGGGGGCUCUGGAAAGAGCUGGGCCAGAAGCCAGGCCCAUCGCCAAGGGACCAGGAUGCCCGAGGACAAGGAUGCUCUCCAUUCUAGCCACCGGCCUGCCUCAGUUUCCUUGCCUGCAACAUCACCGCUGCAGCCAGGGUCCUCCCAGUGCCCUCCUCCCAACAGGGCCCUGCUGCUGGCCUUCCUCCCCAAGAGUCUGCCAUGAGCCGGGGAAAUGAUGUUUCCCUCUUAAUCUUAAAGAUAAAAUGUUAUGCAGAGUUUGCAGUUAACUGGUGCCUGUCUGUCUUGUGGCUCUGCGUGCUCCGCCCACCCACUGCCAGCUGUCUCAGAGCGAGGCCUUUGGCUCUGAAGCCCCACAGCAGUCCUGAUCCAGGAGUCCCGAGGGAGAACAGGCAGUGUCUGGCAGGGUGGGCCCCUUCUCAGUGUGCACCCAGCCAUGGGUGCCAGUGGGCCCUGGGGGCAGUGAGCCUGGCCCCGAGGGAGGAGGCAUUCUCAGGUGGGAUUCCAACCUACAGAGCAUGUUUUUGUUGUCCCUGCCCCUCUCUACACUCACUGUCCAGGGUGACACGUGUGAGGACUUGCACAGCCAAACCUGUUUCCAAACUUGGAUUUAGAGAAGUUCUGGUUUCCUCAGAAGCCACACUUGAGUGCUCCUUGAUGGUUAGGGGUGCAGGAAGAUCCGGUUUUGAAUCCCUGCUCUGCUGCUUGCUUGCUCUCUGAUUUGGGCAGGUUGCUUAAUCCUCUGGGCCGCAGCCUUCUAUUCUGCGCACAGGAAGGAUUCCAGCUCGUACGUUUGGGGUGAAGAGUGAGUGUGUUGAAUGUCUGGUGCAGCCCCAAGACCUCCACAUGGCUGCUCACUAGAAGGUUGUCUGGAUGCUCAUGGCGGUCCCAGAUCUGGUCUCUGUCUUCUCCAACCCCUUUCUCACCAUCACAUCCCUCCCAUCACUUUGUCUAAUCACUCAUUCAUUCAUUCACUCACUCAUGUUUUAUUAGUCUUCUUUAGUCUAAUAUAGUUCCUGAGUCUUUCUUUGACUUUCAUAACCUUGACACUUAGAGGCCAGUUAUUUUCUCCCUCAUGUUGGGUUUGUCUGAUUUUCCUUGUGAUUAGAUUUAGGUUAUGCAUCUUUGCAGAAAUAUCACAUAGGUGGUGCCUGAAUUCUUUUCACUGAGUCCUGUCAGACGGCACCCGGUUGUCACUUGUCCCAUUACUACUGAUGUUCACUUUGAUCUCUUGAUUAAGGUGGUGUCUGCCAGGCUUCUCCACCAUGAAAUUACCCAUUUGCCCUUUGUAAUUAAUGAGUCUUUGAUGGGAAGCUACUUUGAAACUAAAUAAAUACCCCAUUCAUCAUCAAA